UCCGAAUUCUAGUUUCGAGAAAAAGUUACUAGAACUCGGACCGUGGAAACAGUCAACUUGGAUGAAAAUCUCGAAUAUAAAAGUCAUACGAAAAAAUGCAUCGCGUCCCAUUUUUUGGUGACAGUUACUAAAUUUAUGCAUAUAGAAAAUAUUUAUUUUAGUAAAAGUAACAAUAGAUAACAGAGAGAACGUCAAAACAUUAGUAAUGUUAUACGAGCAACAUCCUUGUCUGUAUGUUACCAAGUCUGCUGAAUAUCAUAAUCGAAAUAAACGUGAUCAAGCACUGCGAACAAUAUGUCGCAAUUACGAAGAAAUAACAAAACUGCCAAUAACAGUUGAUGCAGUAAAGAAAAAAUUAAUAUAUAUAUAUAAUUUGCGAUCUCAGUACUUAGAGCAAAUUAAUAAAAUUCGUCAGUCAAAAGUGAGCGGGGCUUCGGCUGAUGAAGUGUACAAACCCACCUGGUGGUUAUUUGACGAUAUGUCAUUUCUGAGUGUUCAUAUAGCAGCUAGAUCAGGAGAAUCUUCACUGAUACAUAAAAGUCAACCCAAUAUAUCAGACAGUACAAACGUGCUGGAUAUAAUUAAUGAUUCAUCAGUGGAAGAUUUACAAUAUGUAGAUAUGUGUGAUCCUUGUCAAAAACAAUAAUGCUAUUACAGCCGACUGCAAAAAUCGGCGCUCACCUACUUCCUCGAUAAUAUCCACUUUAAGUAGUGCAUCAUCAAGUGGUACACAACGUAAGAAAAAAAAGAGAGAAGCUUCGCCAGAAACAUCAAGUGCGAGAACAGAUUUUUGGAAGACUGCAUCUCAAGCAUUAAUAAAUAUAUCUAAUGAUGAUGAUGACAAUGUUCAGGAUGGAAUGCGUCACUGGACCUUAUAUUUGGAAAGUGAAUUACGUAAGAAAGACAGAAAAAAAUAGAAGAUAAUAUAAUAUAUUAAAGAAUAUUAUAUUAAAAUAUAUAAAGCGUUACCGCGUGGGCACAGGAACCAAUAUAUUAUAACUACAUGUUCUGUUA